CGGAUCGCAGGCUGCAACCCGCCUGCGUGAAGCCGGAAUCGCUAGUAAUCGCGGAUCAGCAUGCCGCGGUGAAUACGUUCCCGGGCCUUGUACACACCGCCCGUCAAGCCAUGGGAGCCGGGGGCGCCUGAAGUCCGGGACCGCGAGGACCGGCCUAGGGCGAAACUGGUAACUGGGGCUAAGUCGUAACAAGGUACC
rnacentral:rRNA from 1 species